GAUGAACGCUGGCGGCGUGCCUAAUACAUGCAAGUCGAGCGAACAGACGAGGAGCUUGCUCCUCUGACGAUAGCGGCGGACGGGUGAGUAACGCGUGGAUAACCUACCUAUAAGACUGGGAUAACUUCGGGAAACCGGAGCUAAUACCGGAUAAUAUAUUGAACCGCAUGGUUCAAUAGUGAAAGACGGUUUUGCUGUCACUUAUAGAUGGAUCCGCGCCGCAUUGGCUAGUUGGUAAGGUAACGGCUUACCAAGGAGACGAUGGGUAUCCGACCUGAGAGGGGGAUCGGCCACACUGGAGCUUAUACACGGUCCAGACUCCUACGGGAGGCAGCAGUAGGCAAUCGGCCGCAAUGGGCGGAAGCCUUACGGAGCAACGCCGCGUGAGUGAUGAAGGUCUUCGGAUCGUAAAACUCUGUUACUAGGUAAGAACAAAUGUGUAAGUAACUAUGCACGUCGUGACGGUACCUAAUCAGAAAGCCACGGCUAACUACGUG
rnacentral:rRNA from 1 species